rnacentral:lncRNA from 10 species
AGUCUCCCUUUCUAUAGUGCAAGCUCGACUAGACAGUUUUGACAAUAGUGAUAUUAAGGCUCUGCUUGGUGCCAUGCAAUCUGCAUUUGGGGUGCCAGCUAGCCACAGGACUCAUCUGGAAAAAAACAACGGCCCAACCCUGAGAACUUUGGGAUUCACGGGAAAUUACAGUUCCCCUGAUGAUGCAGGACCGGACCAGGAUUUCACUCAUCAACUGGCCUAGAUUAAGGAGAAAGAAAUCUACAUUUCUGAACCUGGUAACGUCUGAGCAUACUCAUGGAAGAAAGAGCUGGCCUAUGAGCGUGAGUCAUUCAACAAAUAUUUCUGAGUUUUUACAGUGUGCUAGAUACUCUUUACAUGCUGAAUGAGACAGCAAAACUAAGACUGCUCAGGAUAAUUGAGAAAUUAUCGCUUUCUUCCUGUAGGCAUCCCCUGCUUUUCACUAACACUUUUUUCUUCUUGUUGGAAGGGUGGAUAUUAUGGCUGGAGCUGCAGCAGCCAUCAUGCCAACAUGAGGGAAAAGCUGAUGGAAUUGUGGAGACUUUGGCCUUGUGAUUCAGCCCUGGAUGAGUUGUCUCCACAUUACUUAUCAUAUAAGAGAAAAACCAA